rnacentral:rRNA from 1 species
GAUGAACGCUGGCGGCGUGCCUAAUACAUGCAAGUCGAGCGAAUGGAUUAAGAGCUUGCUCUUAUGAAGUUAGCGGCGGACGGGUGAGUAACACGCGGGUAACCUGCCCAUAAGACUGGGAUAACUCCGGGAAACCGGGGCUAAUACCGGAUAACAUUUUGAACCGCAUGGUUCGAAAUUGAAAGGCGGCUUCGGCUGUCACUUAUGGAUGGACCCGCGUCGCAUUAGCUAGUUGGUGAGGUAACGGCUCACCAAGGCAACGAUGCGUAGCCGACCUGGGAGGGUGAUCGGCAACACGGGGACUGAGACACGGCCCAGACUCCUACGGGGGGCAGCAGUAGGGAAUCUUCCGCAAUGGACGAAAGUCUGACGGAGCAACGCCGCGUGAGUGAUGAAGGCUUUCGGGUCGUAAAACUCUGUUGUUAGGGAAGAACAAGUGCUAGUUGAAUAAGCUGACACCUUGACGGUACCUAACCAGAAAGCCACGGCUAACUACGUGCCAGCAGCCGCCGUAA